rnacentral:rRNA from 1 species
GAUGAACGCUGGCGGCGUGCCUAAUACAUGCAAGUCGAGCGAACAGACGAGGAGCUUGCUCCUCUGACGUUAGCGGCGGACGGGUGAUUAACACGUGGAUAACCUACCUAUAAGACUGGGAUAACUUCGGGAAACCGGAUCUAAUACCGGAUAAUAUAUUGAACCGCAUGGUUCAAUAGUGAAAGACGGUUUUGCUGUCACUUAUAGAUGUAUCCGCGCCGCAUUAGCUAGUUGGUAAGGUAACGGCUUACCAAGGCAACGAUGCGUAGCCGACCUGAGAGGGUGAUCAGCCACACUGGAACUGAGACACGGUCCAGACUCCUACGGGAGGCAGCAGUAGGGAAUCUUCCGCAAUGGGCGAAAGCCUGACGCAGCAACGCCGCGUGAGUGAUGAAGGUCUUCGGAUCGUAAACCUCUGUUAUUAGGGAAGAACAAAUGUGUAAGUAACUAUGCACGUCUUGACGGUACCUAAUCAGAAAGCAACGGCUAACUACGUG